ensembl:snoRNA SNORD38A small nucleolar RNA, C/D box 38A
UUUCAGUGAUGAAAACCUUUUGUCAGUUCUGCUACUGAAUGUUAGUGAUGAUUUUUAGUGCUGAGAAA